CCGUCGCUUCACCGAAGCUGGUUCUUGGCGAGGUGGCGCCUAAUUGGCGCUAUCGAACCUGGGGUCAGCAACGGGGGAGAAGUCGUAACAAGGUAGUCGUAGGGGAACCUGCGGCUGGAUCACCUCCUUAG
rnacentral:rRNA from 1 species